rnacentral:rRNA from 1 species
CACUUGGAGGAUGUAUAGCAAUAGCUACUUGCAUCAUCAUUUUCUUCUUAAUUUUCUCUUUCCCCCAUACAAUACUUGUAUAGGGGGAAUCAGAGAAAAAUAAGGAGAAAAGUAAUGAUGAUGCAAGAUCGACUAUGUCGAAUAAAAUUCUAGGUAGAAUUAUGAUAAUGACAUUGUCUGCCUAUGUGUCUUGACCAAAUUACGUGCCAGCAGUCGCGGUAAUACGUAGAAGACUAGUGUUAUUCAUGUUUAAUCGGUUUAAAGGGUACCUAGACGGUAAAUCAAGCUUUCAAAGAAAAAGAAGACAAAAAUAAUAGUAUUGUGAUAAUUAAAGGACUAAUUUACUAGAGUUACUUAUGAGGGGGUAUUAAAGUACUGCUGGUGUAGAGAUGAAAUUCUGUCAUACCUCUUUUCAAAAGAAAAAUGAUGGCACAGGUAUAGGCGAAGGCAUCCCCUUAUGUGAUAACUGACGUU